CGGCAACAGCUCAAAUUUGAAAUCUGGCCUCUUUCGGGGUCCGAGUUGUAAUUUGUAGAGGAUGUUUUGGGUACCGCGCUGGUUUAAAUUUCUUGGAACAGAAUGUCAGAGAGGGUGAGAAUCCCGUCUUGAAUCGGUGACCGCGUCCAUGUGAAACUCCUUCGAC
rnacentral:rRNA from 1 species